GACGAACGCUUGCGGCGUGCUUAACACAUGCAAGUCGAACGGAAAGGCCCUGCUUUUGUGGGGUGCUCGAGUGGCGAACGGGUGAGCAACACGUGAGUAACCUGCCCUUGACUUUGGGAUAACUUCAGGAAACUGGGGCUAAUACCGGAUAGGAGCUCCUGCUGCAUGGUGGGGGUUGGAAAGUUUCGGCGGUUGGGGAUGGACUCGCGGCUUAUCAGCUUGUUGGUGGGGUAGUGGCUUACCAAGGCUUUGACGGGUAGCCGGCCUGAGAGGGUGACCGGCCACAUUGGGACUGAGAUACGGCCCAGACUCCUACGGGAGGCAGCAGUGGGGAAUAUUGCACAAUGGGCGGAAGCCUGAUGCAGCAACGCCGCGUGCGGGAUGACGGCCUUCGGGUUGUAAACCGCUUUCGCCUGUGACGAAGCGUGAGUGACGGUAAUGGGUAAAGAAGCACCGGCUAACUACGUGCCAGCAGCCGCGGUGAUACGUAGGGUGCGAGCGUUGUCCGGAUUUAUUGGGCGUAAAGGGCUCGUAGGUGGUUGAUCGCGUCGGAAGUGUAAUCUUGGGGCUUAACCCUGAGCGUGCUUUCGAUACGGGUUGACUUGAGGAAGGUAGGGGAGAAUGGAAUUCCUGGUGGAGCGGUGGAAUGCGCAGAUAUCAGGAGGAACACCAGUGGCGAAGGCGGUUCUCUGGGCCUUUCCUGACGCUGAGGAGCGAAAGCGUGGGGAGCGAACAGGCUUAGAUACCCUGGUAGUCCACGCUGUAAACGGUGGGUACUAGGUGUGGGGUCCAUUCCACGGGUUCCGUGCCGUAGCUAACGCUUUAAGUACCCCGCCUGGGGAGUACGGCCGCAAGGCUAAAACUCAAAGGAAUUGACGGGGCCCCGCACAAGCGGCGGAGCAUGCGGAUUAAUUCGAUGCAACGCGUAGAACCUUACCUGGGUUUGACAUGGAUCGGGAGUGCUCAGAGAUGGGUGUGCCUCUUUUGGGGUCGGUUCACAGGUGGUGCAUGGCUGUCGUCAGCUCGUGUCGUGAGAUGUUGGGUUAAGUCCCGCAACGAGCGCAACCCUUGUUCACUGUUGCCAGCACGUUAUGGUGGGGACUCAGUGGAGACCGCCGGGGUCAACUCGGAGGAAGGUGGGGAUGACGUCAAGUCAUCAUGCCCCUUAUGUCCAGGGCCUCACGCAUGCUACAAUGGCUGGUACAGAGAGUGGCGAGCCUGUGAGGGUGAGCGAAUCUCGGAAAGCCGGUCUCAGUUCGGAUUGGGGUCUGCAACUCGACCUCAUGAAGUCGGAGUCGCUAGUAAUCGCAGAUCAGCAACGCUGCGGUGAAUACGUUCCCGGGGCU
rnacentral:rRNA from 1 species